AUGGGGCAGGGGCAGAGGGCCUGAAUGGGGCGUGGAGGGGGCAGGCCCUCGGCCUCUUUGCACCGGGCAGAGUGACGAGCUUCGCCGGUGUCUUCAUUGAAGUCCUGUUGGUCCCUACCGGCACAUCACACACUCCUGGAAGCAUGAUCUUCACUCCCUUCCUUCCACCUGCUGACCUGUCUGUCUUUCAGAAUGUGAAAGGGCCGCAAAAAGACCCUGAGGAAUUGGUUGCUGUAUCUGACACCGCGGAGGACCCAUCCAGUGGCACAGGCUUGCCCAGGGAACCUGCUCUUCCGCGAGGGUCUUGGAGGAUCCGGUUCCAGAGGGCCCUGGCAUGUUUCAUCAAGUGCUUCAGGCGAGAGCUCCUUCGGAGCCCGCCUCUGCCUGUCUCACUGGCUCGCCACCAAGCCCAUCCGCCUCCCCUUCCUGUUCCACCAAGAGAACCUCAGGCCAAGUCAGAAAUCCCCAGGGCUCCCGAGGGUCCACUUGUCACUCGCUUUCCUCCCUAGGGGAGGAUACCGGGCACUCGGAAUCUGAGACCACCGGAGCCACAGACACAGGCGUGAACGGUGACCGAGCCCCCUCUGCUGCUCCAUGCCCCUGCUCGCCCCAGUGUCCCGGUCACCGGGCCUGAAAUAAAUGCUGGCACGCUUGACUGUU